rnacentral:rRNA from 1 species
CGUAGGGCGCAAGCGUUGUCCGGAAUUAUUGGGCGUAAAGAGCUCGUAGGCGGUCUGUCGCGUCUGGUGUGAAAUCCCAUGGCUCAACUGUGGGCUUGCAUCGGGUACGGGCAGACUAGAGUGCUGUAGGGGAGACUGGAAUUCCUGGUGUAGCGGUGGAAUGCGCAGAUAUCAGGAGGAACACCAAUGGCGAAGGCAGGUCUCUGGGCAGUUACUGACGCUGAGGAGCGAAAGCAUGGGGAGCGAACAGGAUUAGAUACCCUGGUAGUCCAUGCCGUAAACGUUGGGCACUAGGUGUGGGGCCAGUUCCACUGGUUCUGUGCCGCAGCUAACGCAUUAAGUGCCCCGCCUGGGGAGUACGGCCGCAAGGCUA